ensembl:antisense Gm44793 predicted gene 44793
AGGUGAUGCUAAUUUUUCUCUGCCCAUCCCUGCACCAGGCAAGAGGCAUGAUGGGAACUCUGUACAGUUCCUGUGCCCUAAGAUGUGCAGCUUGGAUGGGAGACAGGCUGGGUCCAGAGACCCUACAGCAGGAGCUCUGAGACCAUCCGUGGGUCACUAAAGCGUCCAGCUUCUCUGAAAUUUGGAAAGCACCGAUAGUAAAUGUCCCAUUUCCUACCGCGCGUCAGCAGUUUUGAGCCUUGCAGGAAACUCUAGAUCACUCUUGGAUAGGUACCAAGGCGUUGUGGAAAGCAUGGAGGCAGAGAUGGAGAGUCUGAACUCCACUGCUGGGAGAUGGCAUCGUGACCAGAGCUAGGGAGGCGGCUGGGGGUGCCCAUCGCCCAGGAGACCCUCCAUCCAGGUGACUGACAGCCCCGGGCCAGGCCUGAGUCAGUGUGUGCAAUCGCAGCACACUCGGGCAUGCUCUUCCAAAGUUAAGUUCACGUUCUACCUUUCCGAGGCAGACUUCCUUACCCAGGAUACACGCCUGGUGGCUGGCUAUCACCCAGGGCAACCUGAAAAGGAUCGCUCACACUCGGGGGGGUCAG